UACGAAGGGGGGCUAGCGUUGUUCGGAAUUACUGGGCGUAAAGGGCGCGUAGGCGGCGUGUCAAGUCAGGCGUGAAAGCCCCGGGCUCAACCUGGGAACCGCGCUUGAGACUGGCAUGCUCGAGUUCGGGAGAGGAUGGUGGAAUUCCCAGUGUAGAGGUGAAAUGCGCAGAUAUCGGGAGGAACACCAAUGGCGAAGGCAGCUCGCUGGGACGUUACUGACGCUGAGACGCGAAAGCGUGGGGAGCAAACAGG
rnacentral:rRNA from 1 species